GGGCUUAACUUGGAAGCUGUUUCUGUAGCUGGAAUUGGCUGUACGUUUGCAACACUUAAUUCAUGCUUUCUCUUCUGUACCAUAAUGGCACUGAAUGACGAGAUCCCAGAAUAAUGUCAGUAGGUAAAAGGGUGAGAGGAGAACUGAUUUCUUGAGGUACUGUGACUCAAAUUACUGUAAUUGAUUCUUGGGUGUUUUUUUGGUCAAAUGUAGGAUGUUUCUAGGUUAUGCAAUUAAUUUCUAUAUUCCACAAAUGUCUUCGAAGAAACUUUGACCUUUUUUUGUGGGAGGAAGUCUUAUUGAAUGACUUCAUGCCAGAACUUUAUUCUAGUGGAAAGCUUAAGUGGCCUUUUUGUUUCAGCAAAAAUACAUAAGCCUAUUUUAAAGUUUACUGUAAAUACUGUAUUUGUCUAAUUGAUAGAUUAGUUGGGUCACUCAUGAAACAAAGGCAAACAAAGCUUAAUUGAAACAGAAUGUGAUACUGUAUGGCAGAGAAGAUACAGCUCUGCAGGUGUUCUCUAGAAAGUGAAUACCACAUGCUGAAGUUGAAGCAAAUAUAACUAUGCAUUAGAAAAAUUUCUCUGCACUCUAUUCUGCACCAGAAAUAAUUGUACGUUGGUAAGAGUCCUUUUAACAAAACAAAGAAGUAUGUGCUUGCAGUAUAUAAUAGUAACAGUUCCCGUAGAAUCAAAGAGGAAUGGAGGAGUACAGAGACUUCAAGAUAUUGACCAAUAAAUGUAAGUAAAAAGUCCUGUCAAGUUCAAGAAUUUUAUUAGUCACUAAACUUCAACUAAAUUAAUCACUACAGUUUCCCCACAACUUAAUUUCUAUUAGAAAGUGUAAUGAAAGACAAGGGUGAUAUUCCUGAAGUGGAAAUUAGAUCUUAAGGCAAUUCUAGAUGUCUAAAGUAUUGUAACUGAGAAUGAUCAGCUCAUGAGCCAGUAAACUGAAAAGUAAGAGCAAAGUCUAAGGAGGAUUUUGUAUUAAUGCACUUAAAAACGAUGCCAAAAUUUGGCCUAUACUUGAUUUAUAUGAAAUCUGUAGUAUAAUAUAGAUAUAUAUGUAAUAUAUUGCAUAUUGGAGUUUAAUUUUUUAUGUAUAGAUUUUUUUUCUUGUUACUGCAUUCCCUGAUCAAAGCAGGUGUUCAUAAAAUAUAAACCAGCUUUGUCUGUAUAAGGCAAGGUUUUGUGUUAGUAGUAGUUGAGGAAAGAAUGCAGUUGUAACCCCCAGUAUCUCAACCUCUUGGAGAACCAUUAAAAAAACAAAGCAAAACAAACCAAAAAAACCCCAAACCCUUUCAAAUGCAAGCCCUGAGUUAGUUGAGGAUCAUAUAAUGGUUGCUGUAUAAUAGUGUAGAACUGAUGUUUUAUAAAUUAAUACAUCGGAACUUUUUGUUACAUUAUACUUAAUGAUUUUGUACUCAUUGUACACUUCUGCAGUUGUCAACUAAUAUUUAAACUCAUAUUGACUGGUAACUGAAGUGUCUUAACUUCAUCUGCAAUGAGUGGGUAAUAAAGCACUGUUGGAU
rnacentral:lncRNA from 1 species